GGUCAUAUAUGUAUGUUCCCUGGAAAUUUAUCAGUUUGUGAUGAAUUUAGUGUCUGUUGUAUAUAAACUUCAAUAAUACAAAAAUUGUAUUCUUUGACACAGUUGUUCAAGUUUUUUAUAUUUAAUUGUCUGAAAAUGUUUGGGGAAAUAGAAUUUUUACUAGGUUCUGCACAAACAAAGCAUUAUUUUUCAAAAUCACUCAUUGGGUUUACAGCCGACCCAUUGAAACAAUACGAAAACAUUUAAUGUAGUAACACUUUAGUGCUGUGCGUUAGUCUUCCAUUAAAGGUUUUCACUCAACUUUAGGAAGGAAGCUAAGCAAAAUCAAUUGCUUGCUUGGGUUAAUAACAGUGAACGUCAAAUAACGUGAACAACCGAUUACGGACAUCGUGUGAACUGCAAGCAGAGAACUCGACGCCAGUUUUCUAUGGAUGCAUUUCACCCCAGAUUUCGAUGAGCCCUGUUCACCACAUUUUAACAGAGAGCUAGCAGAAUUGUGC